rnacentral:rRNA from 1 species
AGGGUGUAAACGCUGCGGGCUUGGUGUUGGGGUCCUUAGUGGGCGCCCAGUGCCGGAGAGAAGUCGUUAAGCCUGCUGCUUGGGAGUAUGUCCGCAAGGAUGAAACUUAAAGGAAUUGGCGGGGGAGCACCGCAACGGGAGGAGCGUGCGGUUCAAUUGGAUUCAACGCCGAAAAACUCACCAGGAGCGACGGAUAUAUGAAAGCCGAGAUGAAGACUCUGCUAGAUUUUCAGAGAGGAGGUGCAUGGCGUCAGUGACU